UUUUGUUCGCUAGCUUCCAGGUUUUGUUCGCCGAGUUAAAAUUAAUAGUUAUAGAUAGAAUUUUUUUAUUGCAAUAUUAAUUUGCCAUCACUUUAAGUCUUUUAAAUAAUUGUGCUUUAGAAUUUGUUCAUUGCAUUGUUUACUACUUAGUAUAAUAUUGUUGUGUUUGUUAAAUUAAAUUGUAUCUAAUCAUAAUAUUUGUGUUUUUUUCACAGCCACUAACAUGUUCAGUCCCGCUGUUGCGAGGAUUUUUUAAAAAAAAUUUCAGAUUCCAGCCGAUCUUUCUCCCGAUUGAUCCCCUCAGUUCGACGGAUACAGAGGCCUACCCGGUUUACUGCUAGUCUUAGGAAUCGACUUAGCAGGCUCAGCCAUUCAGGACAUUGGCUACAAUUAUAAAGUGAACUUGGUACCAUACGUUGCACAUAAUAUAUAUGUGUAUUGCUAUUCGAAACGAGUGAGAAUUAUAGCUGAGCAAUAAACACCUGCGAAUUGAAAGGAGUCAUAACCAUGGAAUAAUCACAUUCUUCAUUAUUUCAUCACAUUCUUCAUUAUUUGGGUUAAAAUGUUUACUCCUGUACAAGGAUACAUAUAUAAUUGAUGUGUUUAAUUAAAUUAUUGAAAUAUUAAAAACUUAUAACACCUA